rnacentral:rRNA from 1 species
UACGGAGGGGGCUAGCGUUGUUCGGAAUUACUGGGCGUAAAGCGCACGUAGGCGGCUUUGUAAGUUAGAGGUGAAAGCCCGGGGCUCAACCCCGGAAUAGCCUUUAAGACUGCAUCGCUUGAACGUCGGAGAGGUGAGUGGAAUUCCGAGUGUAGAGGUGAAAUUCGUAGAUAUUCGAAAGAACACCAGUGGCGAAGGCGGCUCACUGGACGACUGUUGACGCUGAGGUGCGAAGGCGUGGGGAGCAAACAGG